UGCUGCUGCUGCUGUCAAUUUACUCUUGAUCGAUUUCUGCCUUGACAAUCUGGCUUGGUGGCCUUGCGUGCAUCUUCUCCACCAGCGUUCUCUUCCAAAUCCUGGAGCUCCAGGCCUAUUUUU